GUCCACGCCGUAAACGAUGAGAACUAGAUGUCGGGGGAACUUAGUCUCCCGGUGUCGCAGCUAACGCGUUAAGUUCUCCGCCUGGGGAGUACGCCGGCAACGGUAAAACUCAAAGGAAUUGACGGGGACCCGCACAAGCGGUGGAGCAUGUGGUUUAAUUCGAUGCAACGCGAAGAACCUUACCUGCCCUUGACAUUGAUGGAAUCCUGCAGAGAUGCGGGAGUGCCUUCGGGCCCUGAAAACAGGUGCUGCAUGGCUGUCGU
rnacentral:rRNA from 1 species